AGAUUAAAAAUGAAGAAUGAAAAAAAACAAGAUGGUGGAAAAAUGAUUGAUUAAUUGAUAAAACAUGAUUUGGACUUUCAGAAUUCUUGGAGCUCUUGUUUUUAUAAGAUGGCUGACUCGUUUUUUGGCCUUUUAUUUAUCAGAUGGCCGACUGUACAAUCCAGAUGUGACGCGAAACAAUGAGAUUUUUCUAAAAGAACUUCAUGCAAAUUUAUAAUUAUAUUUUAACAUAUGCAAAUAUAUCAUAAUAUAUUAUUUUAUAUCAACAUAUGCAAAUAUAUCAUAAUAUAUUAUGAUAUUAUAGUUUAGUUUCUAAUUGUGUGUCUAACCCAAAACCUUGACAGCUUUCUGCAAAGAAUUUAGCAAGAGAUAAUAUGCAAAUUCAUUGUCAUUCCUUUAAAACUAUUAAAAGCCUUUUUAUUUUGAUUGUGUUUUCUUGAAGAAUACAAACACGACUCAUUCUUUGUUAACGGCCUAUUCCUACUGACGUCUCCUGAGCUCAAUAAACCCUGAGACCGAAACUCAUGUCAUGAAACCUAGUAAAGGAAACCUGGUUUCAUCAAUUGGGUUUAUGCAGUUUUGUCGCAUUUCAAAAAUGUUCAAAAGUUUCUUUAAGUUCUCUAUUUUUCCAAUUUCUUAAAUAAAAAUCUACACAAAUGUUUAAAUCCUAAAAAGGAAACUCGGGAGUUUUGUUUAACGAAGCUCUCUAAGUUAAGACUGUACCGCUGAAUGUACGCAGCGCACACCGGAAUUUUCAGCUGAAUACAAUUAAGCGGGGUUUAAUGAGUUUACAUACAAAUAUCUCUGUACUCAACGAACACACAAAGGUUUUAAAUGUUACAAAAUUUCUUAGUUAUGUAAAAAAAAGUGAUGAGAGGGUCAUUAGUUGGAAUAUUUUACUGAAGUAUUUGCAGAUUAUUCUAAUCAAAUCAAAUAAAUCAAACCAAAUCAAAUUAAAUCAAAUCAAAUCAAAUCAAUUCAAAUCAUAUAUAUUAAUGGGCGGUUAAUCAAUUUAGAAAAUUAAAGAUUUUACAAUUAAGUGAAUUUAAGAAGAAAUUAGAAAUUAGAAAAAAAUGUUAAAUUUAGAUGACAUCAAUCAUAUUUCAAUAGAUAAGAUUUUUGUAUUGUUUAUCUGUUGUAACAUCUAUUCAGAUCCAUAUAGUUAGUUUUAUGUGAUAUUGAACGUGUGAUAAAUGUUUUGAUGAAA